UGCGUAGGCGGAUAAAUAAGUCAGUGGUGAAAUCUUUCGGCUCAACCGGGAAACUGCCAUUGAUACUGUUUAUCUUGAGUUCGGUAGAGGUAGGCGGAAUGUGUAAUGUAGCGGUGAAAUGCUUAGAUAUUACACAGAACACCAAUUGCGUAGGCAGCUUACCAUGCCGACACUGACGCUGAGGCACGAAAGCGUGGGGAGCGAACAGGAUUAGAUACCCUGGUAGUCC
rnacentral:rRNA from 1 species